AAUGUCUACCAGACACCCAGUCAAGCCAGAUACGUUGAAGCUGCACCAAAUCAAACAAACAGCGGACAGACUUCGGCCGACGGUUCACAUCCGAGGAAUUUGAACAUCUUUAAUGAUCUUCUUCCCAUCAAGCCAAGAGCUGCACUAACAACACCUUACUCGCCUCAUUUAUCAACGGAAGGAAAAUUGGAGAAAUUGCAAUAGUGCCGUGGCAGCAGACACGAGUGAUGUUAGUGAAAUGACGAAGUACUUGUUUUGGACAUUGUGGCGUGAGGAGAAUGAGGAGCUGUGCAAGAACGUCAUCCUGGUAGUUAUCAUGCAGAUGAUGAGCAGAACUGGUGAAAGUGGCACGCGGCCGGAAGACAAGAGAAGGAUGUGGAAAGACGGGAGACAGAACAAGAAAGAGAUGGGGUGGGAAAAUAGGGAGAGACUUAGAAACGGAAGGAGCAUACAGGAACAGAUGGCGGCAGACAGGAAGAAAGAAAGUGCAUAAGGAGAAAUAGGGUCGGAUGAUAGGGAAACAGAUGGGAAAAUGGGGAAAGAGAACAUUGCAGGAGUAGAGAGGGACGGGGUGGGUACGCAGGAAGGAAGAGA